rnacentral:tRNA from 1 species
GGGGGCUUAGCUCAGUUGGCUAGAGUGCUACGCUGGCAGCGUAGAGGUCAUGGGUUCGAAUCCCAUAGUCUCCA